UGAAGAUCCCAUUGGUCUUUUACAGCAGCAUCACAGAUUCCAAGAAAAAUCUUACAACACCCCAGUACCACUACCACCUCCUGCUGCACCUGACCUCGGUACUGUAUUUGCUAGGCCAUGGAAGGCAACCCUCUAAGCCAGGUACCACCUAGCAUAGAGCAACUCCACUUUACAAUCUGGAUCACAUCAUUUCAGCUACAGAAAACUUUGAGCUGGAAAAAAACAACAACAACCCACAGUCCAUCUGAAAGCAAGCACUUCCACAUGUGGCCUGAAUAUAGGACUAGAGGCAGCAUCUUUGAUUGCUUUGGAAAGUUACUGCCCUUUCAUUUCCCUGAGAGCAGGAUCUCAUCACUCGCUUUUCAUGGGAGAAAAAAGUGUGACCAGAGAGACAAAAAACACCGCUGAGUAUCCAGGACAGCAGUACCUCUGCCCAGAAUUUGCCACACUGAUGGUAAAUGAGAAAUAUUUUCUCAUUAGCUUUACAUCUAAAAGAACAACAUGCCCAUAGUCAUUCAUUACACACGGCACUGUGACAAUAAUUUUUUUAAUGUAGAAAUCCUGA
ensembl:lncRNA